CCUACGGGUGGCAGCAGUAGGGAAUCUUCCACAAUGGGCGAAAGCCUGAUGGAGCAACGCCGCGUGCAGGAUGAAGGCCUUCGGGUUGUAAACUGCUUUUAUCUGUGACGCGGUAGCAGAUGAAUAAGGACCGGCUAACUCCGUGCCAGCAGCCGCGGUCAUACGGAGGGUCCAAGCGUUAUCCGGAAUUACUGGGCGUAAAGAGUGCGUAGGUGGCAUGGUAAGUCGGUAGUGAAAGCGUGCGGCUCAACCGCAUAUACAUUACUGAAACUGCCAAGCUAGAGGACAAGAGAGGUACCUGGAAUUCCCAGUGUAGGAGUGAAAUCCGUAGAUAUUGGGAGGAACACCGAUGGCGUAGGCAGGGUACUGGUUUUCCUGACACUAAGGCACGAAAGCGUGGGGAGCGAACGGGAUUAGAUACCCUUGUAGUC
rnacentral:rRNA from 1 species